rnacentral:rRNA from 1 species
UACGAAGGGGGCUAGCGUUGCUCGGAAUCACUGGGCGUAAAGCGCACGUAGGCGGAUUUCUAAGUCAGGGGUGAAAUCCUGGAGCUCAACUCCAGAACUGCCUUUGAUACUGGGAAUCUCGAGUCCGGGAGAGGUGAGUGGAACUGCGAGUGUAGAGGUGAAAUUCGUAGAUAUUCGCAAGAACACCAGUGGCGAAGGCGGCUCACUGGACCGGAACUGACGCUGAGGCGCGAAAGCGUGGGGAGCAAACAGG